UGCAAGUCGAACGAGCCUGGGGACUUCGGUUCCCAGGUUAGUGGCGCACGGGUGCGUAACGCGUAUGCAACCUACCUUUCCACUGGGGGAUAGCCCGGGGAAACCCGGAUUAAUACCGCAUGACACUGUUUGAGGGCAUCCGAAGACAGUCAAAGCCGAGGCGGUGGAAGAUGGGCAUGCGUGCCAUUAGCUAGUUGGCGGGGUAAAGGCCCACCAAGGCGACGAUGGCUAGGGGUUCUGAGAGGAUGGUCCCCCACACUGGUACUGAGACACGGACCAGACUCCUACGGGAGGCAGCAGUAGGGAAUAUUGGGCAAUGGCCGAGAGGCUGACCCAGCCAUGCCGCGUGCAGGAAGAAGGCCUUCUGGGUUGUAAACUGCUUUUAUCUGGGAAGAAAACGCCCCUGCGGGGGUAACUGACGGUACCAGAUGAAUAAGCACCGGCUAACUCCGUGCCAGCAGCCGCGGUAAUACGGAGGGUGCAAGCGUUGUCCGGAUUUAUUGGGUUUAAAGGGUGCGUAGGCGGCCCGUUAAGUCAGCGGUGAAGUCCCAGGGCUCAACCCUGGAACUGCCGUUGAUACUGGCGGGCUUGAGUUCGGUCGAGGCGGGCGGAACUGGUGGUGUAGCGGUGAAAUGCAUAGAUACCACCAAGAACCCCGAUUGCGUAGGCAGCUCGCUAGGCCGAAACUGACGCUGAGGCACGAAAGCGUGGGGAGCGAACAGGAUUAGAUACCCUGGUAGUCCACGCCGUAAACGAUGAGUACUCGAUGUUGGCGAUACACGGCCAGCGUCCAAGCGAAAGCGUUAAGUACUCCACCUGGGGAGUACGCCCGCAAGGGUGAAACUCAAAGGAA
rnacentral:rRNA from 1 species